GACGUCUCUCCCAUAAAUCCGUGGAGCGGCGCCGGCGGGCAGAGACGGAGGGCAGCAGCGGUCGGGAAGCAGGAGCAGUGAUUAUGGUCCCUAUGGCAACCGGGACGUCGACGGGGAGGAGCGUCUGGGAGAGUGGUGCAGGUUGAUGACGUCAUCCGUCCCCCGCCGGCGUGGACGAGCCUGGGAUACAGUGCACGGGUGAUGGUGAAGGGUAUAAAGGUACAUGGCAGAGACAAGGCGUUCCCGACACAGUAACUGCCGCCUCAUCAAGUCAACUCAUCCCAGGGACUGCUUUCCUCCAUUCUGACCAAGCGAAUGCAAAAUCAAGCUGACACUUUACACUCAGGGGACCCCUGGCGUCUCUUUUACCUCAGCGCAUAUAGUGCAAGAAAACAAAAACUUUUUGAUGGAAGGAAAAGGCGCUGAUGGGUACACAGUGUGAAGUUGCGAGAUGGCCAUUUUCCUGGAGACCAGGUUGUACUUGGAAUGCGUCAGAGCGUGCUUACUGAACAGUAAAUGGGGACUCAGCUCUCUGUGCAGUAAAUAAGUAGCCUGCCCUCCCUACGGUAACAUCACACGGCUGGAAUAAAUGCAAUAAUGAAUAUUUACACCCAGCAGAUGAAAGAUUUUCCCUAUGCAGCGUUACCAGCUGGAUGAGAUCCUAAUAGCAGGGCCCUUCUGCAUCACACUAAAUAUGGAAAGCAGGCCUUGCUUGGCUGGGAUUACAGCGGGGAGAAUGCCGGACUUGGAAAUUGGCUCUGUGUUAUCCGGAGCUGGCAGCCAGCUGUGCAUGGCGCUAUAAGGAAUUUAAACAGCGGCUUUUGUCUGCACGGAUUACAGAAAGGGUAGUGUGAUAAAAUCUGUGUUAUUUUCACAGGAGUGUUAGAAUGUUUAGACCUAAUAAAAUAAACGGCUUAUUAAUGUAUUCCUUUAAUUGCAAUGAUUAACAGCUUUGCGUACAGAUACCAAAAAAAAACAGCUAGUGCAGAUAUGUGGCUGAAAUGCAAAGUGCAGCGGCUGCAGUUAUCUCCUUGCGCAUUAAUCGCAUUAUAUGAAUGGAUUACGCAAAUUGCUGUAAUUAGUCACAACUGGUGGGUUUCGUUGUCCUUGGGAGUCAGAUAGUAAUGUGGGCUCGGCGAUAAACACAUCUAAAUACCAAUGGCCCUCAUUCCGAGUUGUUCGCUCGCAAGCUGCUUUUAGCAGCUUUGCACACGCUAAGCCGCCGCCUACUGGGAGUGAAUCUUAGCUUAUCAAAAUUGAGAACGAAAGAUUAGCAAAAUUGCGAAUAGACACUUCUUAGCAGUUUCUGAGUAGCUCGAGACUUACUCGGCAACUGCGAUCAGUUCAGUCAGUUUCGUUCCUGGUUUGACGUCACAAACACACCCAGCGUUCGGCCAGACACUCCUCUGUUUCUCCAGCCACUCCUGCGUUUUUCCCAGAAACGGUAGCGUUUUUUCGCACACACCCAUAAAACGGCCAGUUUACGCCCAGAAACGCCCACUUCCUGUCAAUCACACUACGAUCACCAGAACGAAGAAAAAACCUCGUAAUGCCGUGAGUAAAAUACCUACCUGCAUAGCAAAUUAACUUGGCGCAGUCGCACUGCGGACAUUGCGCAUGCGCAUUAGCGACUAAUCGCUCCGUUGCGAGAAAAAUAUAACGAGCGAACAACUCGGAAUGACCCCCAAUGUUCUAUGGCAAUCCUGGGUUUCAAAAAGUUUUAAUAUUAAAGAAUUGAGGACGGCAUACGGCAUUUUUCUUGUCCUGUAUGGUGCUGGUAGUUUCCUUUCUAAUUUUGUACCUGUAUGGUUACCAGUACCCCAUAUAAUGUUUUGGAUGUGGGAUUUAAUGCUAGUAUUCUGAGGGGUAGAGGAGGGACUAUAUAAAAGUUAAAGAUGUGCGCCGACCCCCGUGUUUGGUUUCGGAUCUGUGUUACUAUUAAUUUCAUGUUUUGGCUUUGGUUUUGCCAAAACCCCCCUCAAGUAUUUUGGUUUUGGAUCUGUAUUUUUUUUUGGAAAUUGAUAAAAACAGCUAAAA